CCCUUAGAUGUCCUGGGCCGCACGCGCGCUACACUGAGUGUCUGAGAUACGAGUCUGCCUGGUCCGGCAAGGUCUAGGUAAUCGCUAAAAGACACAUCAUGCUUGGGAUAGAUUAUUGCAAAUAUUAAUCUUGAACGAGGAAUUCCUAGUAAGCGCAAGUCAACAGCUUGCGUUGAUUACGUCCCUGCCCUUUGUACACACCGCCCGUCGCUACUACUGAUUGGAUGUUUAAGCGAGGUUCUCGAACUGCUAGCGACUUAGCUUCGGUGAGGUCGCAGUGUGUGAAGUGAACCGAGCUUUGGUGUCUAGAGGAAGUAAAAGUCGUAACA
rnacentral:rRNA from 1 species